rnacentral:rRNA from 1 species
GAUGAACGCUGGCGGCGUGCCUAAUACAUGCAAGUCGAGCGAACGGACGAGAAGCUUGCUCUUCUGAUGUUAUCGGCGGACGGGUGAGUAACACGUGUAUAACCUACCUAUAAGACUGGGAUAACUUCGGGAAACCGGAUCUAAUACCGGAUAAUAUUUUGAACCGCAUGGUUCAAAAGUGAAAGACGGUCUUGCUGUCACUUAUAGAUUGAUCCGCGCUGCAUUAGCUAGUUGGUAAGGUAACGGCUUACCAAGGCAACGAUGCAUAGCCGACCUGAGAGGGUGAUCGGACACACUGGAACAGAGACACGGUCCAGACUCCUACGGGAGGCAGCAGUAGGGAAUCUUACGCAAUGGGCGAAAGCCUGACGGAGCAACGCCGCGUGAGUGAUGAAGGUCUUAGGAUCGUAAAACUCUGUUAGUAGGGAAGAACAUAUGUGUAAGUAACUGUGCACAUCUUGACGGUACCUAAUCAGAAAGCCACGGCUAACUACGUG